GCGGAGGAAAAGAAACCAACAGGGAUUGCCCUAGUAACGGCGAGUGAAGCGGCAACAGCUCAAAUUUGAAAUCUGGCUUCGGCCCGAGUUGUAAUUUGCAGAGGAAGCUUUAGGCGCGGCACCUUCUGAGUCCCCUGGAACGGGGCGCCAUAGAGGGUGAGAGCCCCGUAUAGUUGGAUGCCUAGCCUGUGUAAAGCUCCUUCGACGAGUCGAGUAGUUUGGGAAUGCUGCUCAAAAUGGGAGGUAAAUUUCUUCUAAAGCUAAAUACCGGCCAGAGACCGAUAGCGCACAAGUAGAGUGAUCGAAAGAUGAAAAGCACUUUGAAAAGAGGGUUAAAUAGCACGUGAAAUUGUUGAAAGGGAAGCGCUUGUGACCAGACUUGCGCCGGGCGGAUCAUCCGGUGUUCUCACCGGUGCACUCCGCCCGGCUCAGGCCAGCAUCGGUUCUCGCGGGGGGAUAAAGGUCCUGGGAACGUAGCUCCUCCGGGAGUGUUAUAGCCCGGGGCGUAAUGCCCUCGCGGGGACCGAGGUUCGCGCAUCUGCAAGGAUGCUGGCGUAAUGGUCAUCAGCGACCCGUCUUGAAACACGGACC
rnacentral:rRNA from 1 species